rnacentral:rRNA from 1 species
UACGUAGGUGGCGAGCGUUGUCCGGAUUUACUGGGCGUAAAGAGCCCGCAGGCGGUUCAGCAAGUUUCAGGUGAAAUCUCCCGGCUCAACUGGGAGGGUGCCUGGAAAACUGUUGGACUUGAGGCAGGGAGAGGGAUGUGGAAUUCCCGGUGUAGUGGUGAAAUGCGUAGAUAUCGGGAGGAACACCAGUGGCGAAGGCGGCAUCCUGGCCCUGUCCUGACGCUCAGGGGCGAAAGCGUGGGGAGCAAACCGGAUUAGAAACCCCCGUAGUCC